CAGAACAUAGCUUAAAUAAAAGCGUUUCCCUUACACCGAAAAGAUACCAUACUAAAAAGGCUGUUCUGA
rnacentral:tRNA from 1 species